rnacentral:rRNA from 1 species
UAGUCUGAUCCUGGCUCAGAUUGAACGCUGGCGGCAGGCCUAACACAUGCAAGUCGAACGGUAACAGGAAGCAGCUUGCUGCUUUGCUGACGAGUGGCGGACGGGUGAGUAAUGUCUGGGAAACUGCCUGAUGGAGGGGGAUAACUACUGGAAACGGUAGCUAAUACCGCAUAACGUCGCAAGACCAAAGAGGGGGACCUUCGGGCCUCUUGCCAUCGGAUGUGCCCAGAUGGGAUUAGCUAGUAGGUGGGGUAACGGCUCACCUAGGCGACGAUCCCUAGCUGGUCUGAGAGGAUGACCAAGGCCACCACUGGAACCUGAGGACACCGGUCCAAGACUCCUACGGGAGGCAGCAGUGGGGAAUAUUGCACAAUGGGCGCAAGCCUGAUGCAGCCAUGCCGCGUGUAUGAAGAAGGCCUUCGGGUUGUAAAGUACUUUUCAGCGGGGAGGAAGGCGAUAAGGUUAAUAACCUUGUCGAUUGACGUUACCCGCAGAAGAAGCACCGGCUAACUCCGUGCCAGCAGCCGCGGUAAUACGGAGGGUGCAAGCGUUAAUCGGAAUUACUGGGCGUAAAGCGCACGCAGGCGGUCUGUCAAGUCGGAUGUGAAAUCCCCGGGCUCAACCUGGGAACUGCAUUCGAAACUGGCAGGCUAGAGUCUUGUAGAGGGGGGUAGAAUUCCAGGUGUAGCGGUGAAGUGUGUAGAGGUCUGGAGGAAUACCGGUGGCGAAGGCGGCCCCCUGGACAAAGACUGGCGCUCAGGUGCGAAAGGCGUGCCCGGGAGCAAACAGGAUUAGAUACCCUGGUAGUCCACGCCGUAAACGAUGUCGACUUGGAGGUUGUGCCCUUGAGGCGUGGCUUCCGGAGCUAACGCGUUAAGUCGACCGCCUGGGGAGUACGGCCGCAAGGUUAAAACUCAAAUGAAAUUGACCGGGGGCCCCGCACAAAGCCGGGGGAGGCAUGGGGUUUUAAUUCGAUGCAACGCGAAGAACCUUUACCUACUUCUUGACAUCCCAGAGAAACUUAGCAGAGAUGCUUUGGGGCCUUCGGGGAACUCUGAGACAGGUGCUGCAUGGCUGUCGUCAGCUCGUGUUGUGAAAUGUUGGGUUAAGUCCCGCAACGAGCGCAACCCUUAUCCUUUGUUGCCAGCGGUCCGGCCGGGAACUCAAAGGAGACUGCCAGUGAUAAACUGGAGGAAGGUGGGGAUGACGUCAAGUCAUCAUGGCCCUUACGAGUAGGGCUACACACGUGCUACAAUGGCGCAUACAAAGAGAAGCGACCUCGCGAGAGCAAGCGGACCUCAUAAAGUGCGUCGUAGUCCGGAUUGGAGUCUGCAACUCGACUCCAUGAAGUCGGAAUCGCUAGUAAUCGUGGAUCAGAAUGCCACGGUGAAUACGUUCCCGGGCCUUGUACACACCGCCCGUCACACCAUGGGAGUGGGUUGCAAAAGAAGUAGGUAGCUUAACCUUCGGGAGGGCGCUACCACUUGGAUAC